rnacentral:lncRNA from 1 species
GAGGUUGACCUCCCCUCUUGGCUCAGAGGAGAGAUCUCAAGCGAGAGAAAGGACGAGUUCAAGGUCACCCACAGGCCUGCCAGGCUUCCCAGAAUCCCAGGUGGGGCCCCUCAAUCAGUGUGUACAAUCAAGGAGGUGACUCUGGAAGGUGCCAACCCUAAGGAGGAAAGAUAGCAGCCUGGGGAUGGGAGAUGGCUUUUCUCAAUGGGGUGCUAGGGCAGGGAGAAGUCUGGGGACUUGGCUCACAUCCUUCCCAGGUAAACCAAGAACCCUUUGGUGCAGGAGAGGUGAGAAGAUGGGACAGAGAGUCCCUCAGCCAAGUCUGGAGUUUGGGGAGGAGGGAGCAGCGCCUGACACUUCAUGACUAGAGGAAGCCAGUCUCUCUAGAUGUUAUCGUCACCGAUAACUCGGGCUGGGUGACAGGCCAGGAGCUGCACAAACACGAGGCUUGUGGACUGAAGAAUGAAGAGCAGGCAUGCAGGGAAGGGACAUUUCCCUGCACUUCACUUGAAAUGUGGUGGCAGGGGGGCAUCAGACAAGUUGUUUUGUAU